rnacentral:rRNA from 1 species
AGCAUAUCAAUAAGCGGAGGAAAAGAAACCAACAGGGAUUGCCUCAGUAACGGCGAGUGAAGCGGCAACAGCUCAAAUUUGAAAUCUGGCUCCUUCGGGGUCCGAGUUGUAAUUUGUAGAGGGUGUUUCGGGUGCGAUGCCGGUCUAAGUUCCUUGGAACAGGACGUCGUAGAGGGUGAGAAUCCCGUAUGCGACCGGCGAUCAAGCCCGUGCGAAGCCCCUUCGACGAGUCGAGUUGUUUGGGAAUGCAGCUCAAAAUGGGUGGUAAAUUUCAUCUAAAGCUAAAUACUGGCCAGAGACCGAUAGCGGACAAGUAGAGUGAUCGAAAGAUGAAAAGCACUUUGGAAAGAGAGUCAAACAGUACGUGAAAUUGUUGAAAGGGAAGCGCUUGCAAUCAGACCGGUCCGGAGGCGAUCAGCCGCUGCUCGUCAGCGGUGCACUCGCCUGCGAUCCGGCCAGCAUCGGUUUGGGCGGCGGGAUAAAAGUCCCGGGAAUGUAGCUUCCUCCGGGGAGUCUUAUAGCCCGGGUCGCAAUGCCGCCCGCCCGGACCGAGGACCGCGCUUCGGCUAGGAUGCUGGCGUAAUGGUUGCAAGCGACCCGUCUUGAAACACGGACCAAGGAGUCUAACAUCUAUGCGAGUGUUUGGGUGUCAAACCCAGGCGCGGAAUGAAAGUGAACGGUGGGAACCCGUCAGACGGCGCACCAUCGACCGAUCCAGAUGUCUUCGGAUGGAUUUGAGUAUGAGCAUAGCUGUUGGGACCCGAAAGAUGGUGAACUAUGCCCGGAUAGGGUGAAGCCAGAGGAAACUCUGGUGGAGGCUCGCAGCGGUUCUGACGUGCAAAUCGAUCGUCAAAUCUAGGCAUAGGGGCGAAAGACCAAUCGAACCAUCUAGUAGCUGGUUCCUGUCGAAGUUUCCCUCAGGAUAGCAGUAACGUUUUCAGUUUUAUGAGGUAAAGCGAAUGAUUAGAGGCCUUGGGGCUGAAACAGCCUUAACCUAUUCUCAAACUUUAAAUAUGUAAGAAGUCCUUGUUACUUAGUUGAACGUGGACAUUUGAAUGUACCGUUACUAGUGGGCCAUUUUUGGUAAGCAGAACUGGCGAUGCGGGAUGAACCGAACGCGAGGUUAAGGUGCCGGAAUGCACGCUCAUCAGACACCACAAAAAGUGUCAAUUCAUCCAGACAGCCGGACGGUGGCCAUGGAAGUCGGAAUCCGCUAAGGAGUGUGUAACAACUCACCGGCCGAAUGAAUUGGCCUUGAAAAUGGAUGGCGCUCAAGCGUGCUACCCAUACCUCGCCGCCAGGGUAGAAACGAUGCCCU